AUGCAGCAAAAGAAAGCGCCCCUCGGGCACUGGUUCAGGAAUGCAGUUUUCCUCUCCGCCAGCAAAAUCCUUCAACAGGUUCAGGAGGAUGAAAACACGGACGACCUCGGACUGAACAAUGCUUCCCUCACCUGGGCUUCGGGCCAAGCAGAGGUGGGAGGGCAAGGCAGCCUCGCUCGCCUCCCUCGCUCCGCCUGCCCGUCGGCGAAGGUGGGGACACCACGCCAUCCCCCGCAGCCGUGGAGGGGCCCCGCAGGAGCGCCAGGCUUCAAAGGAACUCUCUUCGUGACAUGAAAACGACGAUGCUCUUCAUCUGGGAAGCUUUUUCCCUCUGGUCAAAUUUCCACUCAGCAAAGCUAAAAUGCUCUCACGUUUCCUGGCUUGGAGUGGAAGCAACCCUCCUAAUGGUGUUUCACUGAGUGCACCUUCAGCAACAGAACUGCGUUGUGACAGAGAAAUCUGGGGAGCCAGAGGCAACAGCUGUGGAGCAGCAUCCUCCCCAGGAACACGGCUUCCAGCGCUUUCCGGCUCCACAAAUUACAGACAGGGCUCUGCCAGGAGUGUUCCCGAGCAGGGCACUGGCAAUUUGGGGUUGUCUGCCACCUAGGGCGCUAGCCGGCCGCCUUCACUCGGCGCCAGGCCGCGAGGCUGCUCGUCCUGAGCCACCCCUAACAGCUCCACGGGGCUGGGCUCCGGGGGCUCGCGGGACAAGAAGGCAGAGGGCACAGGGUGCAGACGGGUGAUAGGGCCAAAGAGGCCCCAUGGUCGGAAAAUAACAGCAGAGCCCGGACCCCAGCGCAGCCCUCGGCUCUUCUCCCCACCAUCCCUCUGACAACACAGAGAAAACCAGUCCAACAUCAAGCAACCUAAUCGCUGGCCGAAAUACCUUCUUGGACUCCUUUCCUCCAUCGGGGAUGGGGGAGCUGCCGUUGCCGCAGCCCCUCCUCCCCCGCAGACCUGCAGGGCAGGAUCUCCGGGCUCGGAGGGCAGGGCCCCUUUCCCAGACUCCUCCCGCCCCUUCCCAGCUCCCCUCCUCUCCAAUACGCGAAGUUGGAGAACAGAGAGAGCCCCGGGAUGUUAAAAGCUGCAAAAGCCACCUUGGAGCGCACCCAGUCCAAUCUCAGCUCUGCUUCCCCCUCAC
rnacentral:lncRNA from 1 species